UACAUGGGGUGCAAACGUUGCUCGGAAUUACUGGGCGUAAAGCGCACGUAGGCGGCUUUUUAAGUCAGGGGUGAAAUCCCGGGGCUCAACCCCGGAACUGCCCUUGAAACUGGAGAGCUAGAAUCUUGGAGAGGCGAGUGGAAUUCCGAGUGUAGAGGUGAAAUUCGUAGAUAUUCGGAAGAACACCAGUGGCGAAGGCGACUCGCUGGACAAGUAUUGACGCUGAGGUGCGAAAGCGUGGGGAGCAAACAGG
rnacentral:rRNA from 1 species